CCUACGGGAGGCAGCAGCAGGGAAUAUUGCGCAAUGAGCGAAAGCUUGACGCAGCGACACCGCGUGUGGGAUGACGGAUCUAGGUUCGUAAACCACUUUCAGGAGGGAAGAAAAUGACGGUACCUCCACAAGAAGCCCCGGCCAACUACGUGUCAGCAGCCGCGGUAAUACGUAGGGGGCGAGCGUUGUCCGGAUUUAUUGGGCGUAAAGAGCUCGUAGGCGGUUCAACAAGUCGGUCGUGAAAGUUCAGGGCUCAACCCUGAAAUGUCGAUCGAUACUGUUGUGACUAGGAUACGGUAGAGGUGAGUGGAAUUCCGAGUGUAGCGGUGAAAUGCGUAGAUAUUCGGAGGAACACCAAUUGCGAAGGCAGCUCACUGGGCCGCUAUCGACGCUGAGGAGCGAAAGCUAGGGGAGCAAACAGGAUUAGAUACCCUGGUAGUCCUAGCUGUAAACGAUGGAUACUAGACGUAGGAACUGGAUUGACGGUUUCUGUGUCGCAGCUAACGCGUUAAGUAUCCCGCCUGGGGAGUACGGUCGCAAGACUAAAACUCAAAGGAAUUGACGG
rnacentral:rRNA from 1 species